CCUACGGGAGGCAGCAGUGGGGAAUAUUGCACAAUGGGGGAAACCCUGAUGCAGCGACGUCGCGUGAGUGAAGAAGUAUUUCGGUACGUAAAGCUCUAUCAGCAGGGAAGAAAAUGACGGUACCUGACUAAGAAGCCCCGGCUAACUACGUGCCAGCAGCCGCGGUAAUACGUAGGGGGCCAGCGUUAUCCGGAUUUACUGGGUGUAAAGGGAGCGUAGACGGCAGCGCAAGUCUGGAGUGAAAUCCCAUGGCUUAACCAUGGAACUGCUUUGGAAACUGUGCAGCUAGAGUGCAGGAGAGGUAAGCGGAAUUCCUAGUGUAGCGGUGAAAUGCGUAGAUAUUAGGAGGAACACCAGUGGCGAAGGCGGCUUACUGGACUGUAACUGACGUUGAGGCUCGAAAGCGUGGGGAGCAAACAGGAUUAGAUACCCUAGUAGUC
rnacentral:rRNA from 1 species